AGGGGGGAAUAGGGCUUGGUGCAUAUGAGUGCUUUUAUUCACUGAAACUCACUCUUGGCUUUAAAUAUAUCUAGACCCCAAUGACUCUUAAAUUUAAUCUCCAGGCCUGACUCCUUCCUUGGUCUCUAAUCUCAUAUAUUCAACUACCUAUGUUACAUAUCCACAUAUAUUUCAGUAGAAGACAGAACACUUAAUUUCUCCUCAACAAAUCUUACAGUAAACUCAACUCAACAAUAACUCCAUCUUAUAUUUACUCUUCAAACCCAAAAUACUUGGAGUCAUACAAAAUUCUCCUCUUUCCCGCAUCUUCCCAUAUUCCACAUCAGUCCAACAGUAAACUCCCUUGGCUUUUUUUAAACCCUCAAAAGGCAUCCUGAAUCUGACUAUUUUCACUAAACCACUCUCACUCUAGUCUAAAUCAUCUUUAUACCUCACUUGAUAUUACAAUAACCUUUUAGCUGUCUUGAACUCUUUCCCUUACAGUCUAGUCUCCACAUAGCGGCCAAAGAGAUCACUGUUCUUCUCCUUCAAAAUUACUCUGCUCCAGCCACACUGGUCUCCUUAAUGCAACACUGCCAUGCAAAGGUUUUUGUAAUUGCCUUUCUGCCUAAAUUAUGCUUCCCCUAGGUAUUUCCAUGGCAUGCUUCCUGUCUCCUCAGAGUAAAAUACAGCUUCAUUGGGGCAGGAACUUUAUUCAGAACAAUGUAAACCCAUAGGAGGCAUUCAACAAGUAUUUGUGGAAAGAAUGAAUGAAUUAUUGAAUGUUAUACAGUUUGCAACACAAAUAGGAAGCUUACCAUGCAUAGCGAGAGACCCUGGUGUUAAUGGAUAGUUAAUGAGUUUGGCGAAGAAGUUUCUAUUCAAGUUUCUGAUCAGGGAUCUCCUAGAUGUAAUUUCCUUAUUUUAUUACAUUAUUUUCAUAUUAAUUAAAUUAUUUUAAUAUUAAUAACAUACAUAAUUUACAUUCCUUUAUAUAUGACAUUAUCCUUAACCUAUGGCCAGGCAGUUUAAUUGUAUUAUAAAAUUUCUUACAAUACAGGAAAACAGAGUAAUGUAUUGUUUGCAGAGUGUAGACUUUAUUUAUUGUUGUUGUUGCUCUUUGUUGUCCUUACCAUAGUUGAUUUUAACAACUAUAGUAAGGUAUCAUGAAUAUAUUAUAAAUUGCACAUAUUUGAUUAGUUUUGAUAAAUGUAUACACCUGUAAAACCACCACUACUCUGUUUUCACUUAUAGCUCAAAUCUUUGCCUUGCAGUUUAGCAGCAGAGUGGCCUCCAGCAAAUUAUUUAUCUCCCAAAUUAUCAGUUUAUUUAACUGAAAAAUCAGAGAUAAUAUUGGUAUUUUUCUCAUAUGGUUAUUGAAAUGAAUAAAUGAGAUACAUGAAAAGUGCUCAACAAAUAAUAAACAUAUGCUGACUUAUGGUAUCUUUCAGCUAAACAAUUAAUACCCGAAACCUGCUUAAAACAUUUUUAUUUGAUUUUGCUAUUGUUUUGUAAUAGGGUCAAAAACUUAAAUUCCUUUGUGGACCAGGCAGGUAAUUUAAAUUUGUGAGAGCCAUUCAGGAAUAAGGCAAUGGGGGAAUUGUGAGGACAAUAAGGAACAAUAGAGUGUAUACUCCACAUAAAAUCAUUCAAAUUAAAAAAAAAAAAAAGAAUUGUGGUUGGCCCUACAAAACAAAUCUGCAGGUUUGCAUGUUUGCAUUCAGCCUAUCGGACACAAGUUUGUGACCCCAGCAAAUAUGAGGUCAGAGAAGGAGCUUUAGUAGGGAAUUUGAUACGAUUUGAUUUACAUCUUAUAAAUGAAGUUGAUUCUGACUAUGGCGGAGAAAAUGUGUUAGAGGGAGAGCAAGCAGAAAAGUUGAGGGCCCAUUUAGAAGACUGUUAUAAUAAUUCAUGUAAGAAAAUAUGUUGGUCUGUAAUACAUUGAUAGCAGAGAGAAUGAGAAAUGGAUCGAUUUGAGACAUACUCUGGAGGUAGAUGAAACAGCACUCUUAUAUUUCCAUGUAAAGAAUAUUGAAUUUUUUUAAAACGUCUUUUAAAAUGUCACUCAAAAAUGUAGUGAAAUGUUACUUAUUUUUCCUCUGACUUCAACUCUUUGAUUUUCCCAAUGUUCCUUUUAUACAACUUGGUUUAAUACAAACAGGAUCAUUUUAUACUGUGGCAGAGAGAAGUUGGCAUGCUGCCAAUUGGGCUGGCGCUCACUGACUUUCAGUUUCAUUUCUGUGAAUCGCACGGAAGUCUCUGUUUGCUGAAGUCAGGCACAAAGUGAGAGGCACUAAGUGGGAGCUGGAAAUUCAAAGAGCAGUUACCCUCGGCUCCUGCCCUUGCACAGAUUGUGCAAACAGAUUGAGAAGUAUGGCAGUGACAACUUGUUUGACAUGGUUUCAAGAAAAGAAACUGAAAAAUUGUUUUGGAGAAAAGCAGCUUAGCCUUCUUUAUAAGGCUACUGUCCAUGGAUUCUCUAGUGAUGAUUUGCUCCUGAGAUGCUGUAAUCAAGGACCUACUUUAAUAGUGACUUAUAGUGAAGAUUAUGUUAUUGGGGCAUAUAUGCAAGAGGAUUACCAGCAUGGAAACAAAUGUUCCUUUAUCCUUUUUGCAUUUCAACACACUGAAAAUUCAGAAUUCAAAAUAAGAUUAUUUGAAUUCCGUGACAAGUUUAAAACAGCGACUAACCUGCUGCGCUAUGGCCUUGGUGUGCUCCACAUCUUUCUAAGUAGAAGACAGGUUACUGUGGACUUCCCUGCAGCUGAACCACUUGGACUACCUCAAUCAUAUAAGGCUAGCAUUAAUGAAUGUGAGGUUUUUCGAUGUGAAGAUGUAUUGGACAAAAGGAGGAUGGAAGGGGUCAAUGAGCUCAGGAAUAGCUUAUUGUCUGACAUAAGAACUUAUAAGCCACAUGGAAACCUGGUUAAUCAAGUCCGAAUUCUGCUUCUGGGUCCAACUGGAGCUGGCAAGUCUAGCUUUUUCAACUCAGUGAAGUCUGUUUUCCGAGGCUACGUAACUAACCAGGCUUUGGUGGGCUUUGACACAAACAGAACAUCUGAGCAGCAGUACAGGACAUAUUCCGUUAAAGAUGGGAAAGACGGCAACUCCUUGCCAUUUAUUCUGUGUGAUUCAAUGGGACUAGGUGAGAAAGAAGAAGGGCUGUGCAUGGAUGAUGUACCCUAUAUCUUACAAGGCCACAUUCCUGACAGAUAUCAGUUCAAUUCCAUAAAACCAAUCAAACCAAGUCAUCAUGACUACAUUGACUUCCCACUGCUGAAGGACAGAAUCCACUGUGUGGUGUUUGUGCUCGAUGCCAACUCUGUUUCAAACCUCUCCCUUGAGAUGGUGGCAAAGAUCAAAAGAAUUCGAAAAGAAUUGAUAAAGUAUGGUGUGGUACAUGUGGUUUUGCUCACUCAAGUGGAUGGCCUAGAUCUGAUUACAAAAGGUGACUUUAUAGACAUAUACAGAUGUAUGCCUGUGAAAUUCAAGCUAGAGGAAGUCCACAGAACACUUGGAAUUCCUCUUUUUAACAUCUUGGUGGUCAGCAAUUACACUUCAGAGUGGGACCUGGACCCUGUAAAGGACAUUCUGAUCCUCUCUGCCCUGAAACAGAUGCUGUGGGCUGCAGAUGACUUCUUAGAGGAUUUGCCUCUUGCAACAGAUACAGAAAAGGAAGAAUGAAAUGUGUGAAAGAAGAAAAGAAACAAGUGAAGCCUUCACAUAAUAAUAACUUUUAUCUCAUCAUUGAAGAGUAAAAUUGAAAAGUGAGAAAACACAGGAGAAAGAGAAAUAGCUGACAUGCUCAGCCUUUAGGAAGAAUAUGCCUUUUGAAAAUAUGAUAACUAAUGAAUAAGACUGAGAAAACAAGCAUUUUGAAGACUGGAAGUAACUUUAUAUGUUUAAAAAAAUGACUUUAGUUAUUAAAUGGAGUAGAAGCCAGGAGCCCAGGUAGGAGGCUAUUGUAGUCCUGGCACACUGGUGCUGAAAAGAGUGGACUGAUUUCAGAUAUUAUUUGAUGCAGCAUCAUUAGGAUUUGCUGAAAGAUUGUAAGUAGAAGGCAAGGGAAAGGCAGAAAUGACACACCCUUUUUUAUUUCAAUAACUAUAAGAAGGGUGGUGAAAUUCACUGAGAUGGAGAAAAAUAGGGAAGGCAUAAUGUAUUUAUCUGAGGAGAGGGUAGCAAGAGUUUAUUUGGGGCAUGUUGAGUAAAAGAUGCUUAUUAGACAUUCAUGGAAUUAUUGAGUAGAUAGUUUAUAUUCAUGCCUACUCUUGUAGAGAAGUCAGGGUUGGCACAUGAACAUCAGCAUGGGGAUGAAAAAGCCAUGGGACUCAAUGCGAAUGCCCAAGAAAGAGGAAAAAAGAGGGCCCAGGAUUGAGCCUUAGGAAGUUUAGGAGCUGAGCAGAGAAGGAGGGCCCAUCAAAGGGCAUAAGGAAGAAUAAAGAACACUUACAUCACAGAGCCAGGGAUUAUGGACGUGGAGAGUAGACAGGGCUUCAAGGAGAAAGAUCCCAAUUGCAUUGGAUGCUAAUGAGAGGUUUUAAAAGAUGAGGACAGAGCAGUGGCCAUUGGAUUCAUCAUUGGAAGUUGUUGGGGACCCUGACAAGAACUGUUUCUUUGAAAGAAGGGGAUAGAAACCCUAUUGGAGGGUGUUGAGAAGAUAAUGAGAGUGAAUUUGGAGGUGAAAAAGUUUAGUAAGAUGAAAACUGAACUUGAAUCAUAAGACCUGGAAAUGAAGUUGAUCCCUGCCACUUUCUCCAGAAAAGCAAGACUGAGAUUGUCAAGUGAGAAGAUUUUACUGAGAAGUUCUAGGAGCAGUUUGCUUUGUGGUCAUUUAAGUGCAUUGUGCAUGCACUUAUCUCUGUAAUAGAAAAAGAUGUUGAGAAGAGUUACUGACCCUCUUGAGUUUUCCACAGAGUUGCUUUCUGAGAUUCUGUUUCAUAACAGACAACACUGGUGCACACAAUCAAAUGAAAAUGGGUUAUUCCAAUUGAGGGAACUGCCACACUCAAUUUACUUUCUUUUAAGCAUGUCUCCUAAUUUCUCUCUUCUGCCCUACCCCUGUACCAGUCACGAGGAAAAAAAAAAAUUCCUUCAUAAUUUAAAAAUGCUUUACUGAUUAAGAUAUUUCUUCAUGUAAUAACAAUAAUAAUAACUAAUUACAUCCUGCCUGAUGACUUGUAUAUCACGUUUCUGCCAAGUAGGACUCAAAACAGCUGAGCUGUUAAGUCCUGAUAAAUGAUAAUGGAAAAGACCGCUCAGCGUUAACUAUAGCAAUGCUACCAGCAGCGCCAUAAUUACAAUUUCCUCUUUCAUUAAAGACCAUAAUUUGCCAUUGAUUUUUAUAAAAACCUCAUUGACUUCAAUGGGAAUUCCUUACUUAUAGCAAUGAGAAAAUAUGGUCAUUGUUAUUUCCUUGAAUAUUUCUAAAAUAGUUAAACUUUUAUUCUUUAACACCACACACAGUAUGAUUGGGUACUAUAUCACACACAUUUCCUCCUGCCUUUCAUAUUUUAUUUUAUGUUAGAAGACAUAUAUACAAUUACUACAAUAUUGUUUAGAAUGUUAAUUCUUUUUGGAAAAAGUUAGGAUAAAGUCAUAUUCCCAAGAGAAAUAUAGCUCAGUUUGUUUGCAGAUAGAUUAAAUUUUAAGAGAAAGUAUUUAUGGAAUCCACAGAAUCCCUUGCCCUACAUUUCAUGCUACCUUUUGGUCUGUUUUAAUUGUUGUUUUGUGCACACAUUUGUAUGUGCAUGUGUGUGCACAUGUGGGUGUGUUUUGAACUUCUGAAGUCUGUGAGCUUUCUGGGAUAUGUUGACAUAUUAUCCCUUCUCAAGCACACUAUCCACUUAACAUUAAUGCUACCUGUCUUCCCAUACUCUCUCCAUGUCCUUGCUCCCUUCACAAACAGACACACUUAGAUCCCUUCUAUUACACAGGCAUAAUCACAUUUAUUGUCAGGCAAAGACAGUGCCAGAAUUCCCAUAAUGACCAUCAUGAUUUUGGUCCAUUUUCACUUGCCAUCAAAGUAAAUUAUUAGAUCUCCUGUCAGUAUCUUUGUGCCUUUAUUUUUUUUUCUUUUUCUUUUUUCUUGAAAGCGCUUGAUGUCCAAUGCUAAAAGUCUUGGACACUCACACCUUGCCACUUAAAAGCAAAAGGAUGGUUAUCUUCAUUAUGGGAGAAAGCACCCUGCCUGUAACACUUACCGAGCAUUGACUAAAAGGUCCUAGGGAUUGUGGUUGGCUGUGGAGUCCAUCUUUCCGCCUGGAGCCAGCUCCAGACCCAAGCACAAGGCUGGGAGGACAUGCAAUAUGCUGAUAAUUUUCUAAAUCAAAGCAUGGCCAAACAGAGGUAACUGUGUCUUCAUGAGCAUGGAUCAGUCUGUGUGUGAAUAGGAAUGGAGUUCUCGCUCUGCCACACAAGUCACCCAACCAUUCUGGGCAAAGUUACUAUUACCAGCUGAGGGUUAAGACUCAAGUGAGAUUAAAGCCCUACAUCAUCAGUUAUUUCUAGCUGACAAGCCACUUCAAACCUUCAGUGCCCAAAUAAUCAUUUAUUACUUCCUACAUGUCUUUGGGUGGCCUGGAGGAAUUGGUGGAUUGGAGAUUGCAGCAGGGGAGUUCUUAGUGGAACUGCAGAUCCCGCUGAGACAGACUCCCCCCUCAAGCCUGUGGUGUCGUGUCUCUAGCAUUCUGUUGGUCAAAGCAAGUUGCGUGGCAAUAGGGAAGAACACUCCUUCCAUUGAGGCGGGGAGGGGAGAGGAGUAACAGUUUUUGAACAAUAACCGUAAAAGCAGAAUUUACUUUUCUCUAGGGAUUUACUUCCGCAUUUUAUAUGCCGGUACCUUUAAGAAGGAAGGCUUAUCAUCAAUUUUGUAGGGGGAGGUUUCUAUGUUUUCCUUUUUCUUUUUUUUAAUUGUGAGUGUGGAGCGGUGGAGAUAAAUGAAAAACAAGGACUAUGUUACCAAACAAGGGCUUGUUGCCUGACAUGCGCAGAAGUCAAUGUCGUGACAUAGGGAUUUUGAGAAAAGAAAGAGUUUAAUGCAAGGUUGACCCUUAAAGAAGACAGUAGCCCCACCACCCCACUCAGAUGUGUCUCCCCAAGUCUAAAGAGCUUAGGCUUUUUAUGGGACUCAAACAAAGGGACGCGGAGAUAGUGAUGUUAUUUAAGUUGGCAUAUAUUUAUUGGUGAUGUUUUGGUUAUAGCUAAUAGGGAGUAUACAAGCACAGGCUCAAGAAGCCUCAAAAACUGAUAAAAGCCAUCUGGGGCAAGCAUUUGGUUAUAGGUUACCACAGGGUUGUAAAUCGGUCAGUUAACGUGUGAUAACAAGUAAAAGAAUGGAAAUAAGCUAAAAUAAUAUUUGCAAUUGCAAGUAGAACUGCUGUAGUCAGUGGUUGCAUUUUCAAAAUAGUAAUUAAAUAAACUUCAUGGAAAACUUCCCUA